UCUCUCUUCUCCGUUAUCUUUCUCUCUCGGCUCCAACGAAAAUAAUUUCUAGGGUUAAUGUUUUUUUAUUUUCAUUUCUAUUCACUCUCUGAUUUCGAUUGUACAUCAAUAGAUUUUAAAUUAGUAAGUUGAUUCGAAGAUUCAGGUAAGAUUCAAGUUAAUUUUAGUUCCAUUUAGUUUUGAUCUUUUUUUGUUUUUGAUUUUAUUCAGUUCUGUAAAGAAGAAGAACACCUUGAUUCUUUUUUUGAUCCAAUCAAGUGGUUUCAGAUCGGAGGAGAAAAACAACAUGAUUUUUCCGAAUCAAUCGAUGCUCGUAUUUCGAAUCCAGGUAUGAUAUUGUUGAAAGAGAGCAUUGUAUAUGGAACGUUGUAUCAAAACUCUACCAAGAAAGCAUCAGAACCUUUCCAAAAAUCAGCCUGCAAAAUUAUUUGAAUCUGUAGGGUUGUAUUAUUAUUGGAAAUGAUUGCAUGGCGUAUAAUUUGGAAAUGAAGAAGAAAUUGAGAAACAAUGGUGAAGGAAGUAGCAGAGAAUUGAGUAGAGAGUACUGAUGGAGAUGGUAUAUGCCUUACUGCAACCGUUUUUAUGCCAACAAACCUGAACUUGCUGCUCAUAUAAUCUAAGCUAUUGGUUACGAAGUUGGCCACAAAGUCUUAUAAAGGUGUUUGUGUUUGAGGCAGCUGUGAAGCAUGUGAACUGGUCUACAAACGAAUCUGUGGUGAUUUUGGUGAUGGAGGUGCAGGUUUUGGAGGAGGAUGAGAAGGUAGUGGUGAUAGCCAGCAGUGGUUCAUGUGUGUCUGUUGAAAGUACUGAGAUGCUUUCCACUUUGAACAUCCCCUGGGUUAUUCUCAACCUCUCUGAAAGAAGUGCUUUGCUAAACGAAUCAAAUGAACUUUUACAUCGAAAGCAUGCUUGUUGAAAUAGAUAUAUAUGAGUUCAAGUUCACUAUGCUCAUAUGAUUGAGUUGUGUCAACUGGAGAAGGAAUUUGCAGUCUUUGGUUGCACAAACCAUGAAGAUAUCCCAUGGGCUGAGACUGGAACUGGGUACAUUGUUGAGCCAAAAGGAAAAAGCUUCUUCUCAUUCCAAGAUAUGCAAGCAUUUUGGAGGGAGGAAAACAAGAAGGAAAGGCAAAUAUUUAAACUUCAU